AUGGGUUUGCUGGUGAAAACUGUCAACUUGCUGCUACUCAGGGUAGUGGUAUCAGAUGGUGAAAUUAUUCUCACUCAGUCUCCAGCAUCCAUGGUCACACCACAAGAGGAGAAGGUCACUAUCACCUGCAAUACCAGCCCAAGCGUAAGCUCCAAUUACUUCCACGGGUACCAGCAGAAGCCAGGAGCCUCCCCUAUGCUCCUGGUUUAUGGAACAUCCAACAUGGCUUCUGGAGUCCCAGCUCGCUUCAGUGGCAGUGGGUCUGGGACCUCUUACUCUCUCACAAUCAGCAGUAUUGAAACUGAAGAUGCUGCCACUUACUACUGUUAG